rnacentral:miRNA from 11 species
AUUCGUUCGAAAUUGUGACCA